rnacentral:lncRNA from 1 species
UUUUUUCAUUUAGGGUUAUUUUGAAUAAUUUACAAAUGACAUGAAAAUGUAAUCAACAAAUAUUUUUUUCAGGAAUGAAAGGCAUCUGGAUUUCAACCUACAAAAUGAAAUUAAUGACAAAGGACAUGCAAGUGAGUUUGAAAAACAACAAUAACAAAAAAGGAGCCCAGAGGAAUUCUGUGGCACUCAUUGAAGCUGUUUGACUCUUUGAUUUUCCUGGAGCUGUUCAGAUCCCAGUAUAGGGUUUGUUGUUUUCUGGCCAUUCUUUUUCAGCUCUUCAGCAGCAAUGCAUUAUUCUGUAUCCAUGACUCCCAAUCUUUGCAAAUGUACUAAAUUAAAACCUAUGUGAAAUAUUCAUUGGAGGAGUGUGGAAAUCAGCCACAGAGGCAUUUUUAAAGAUCAGAAUGAAACCUUGUUAUCUCAAGAGAAAAGCUCAACAAUUGAAUAAAUAAUAAUAUUGGUCCUUUAGACCUAAGAGUAAGUGCAUUCCCUGCUCUGAUGGUGCAAAGGGGCCUUAAGAUUUGCUUAGCUCACACUCAUGAGCUGGAGAAUAGGAAGACAGGCAGGAAGAUGAUGCAUGGUCUGGACUCAACACUCUGUUUAUGGGACCUUCCUCCUUCCAGUAAACCAUGUGUGUCAGGUUUUGCAGAAGGAACCGAACUAACUUGAGACCAGAGCCUGCCAACCCUUACUUGUAGUGUUUUCCACUUACCUGCCUACAUUGGGCCAAGGACACGCCUGAAGUCAGAUGUGCAUACUUGCUGCCUCAUGGAAAGCAAGUGAGUUUUAAUUUUCAGGUGGCUUUGUCUUUAUGGGGUAGGCUGGAUAGCAGGCUUCUUUAACAGGCCUGCUGUGACAAGUUCAGGAG